GGGUAGAGGAAAGGGAGGCUUGUUGGAGCUCAUCUAUCUCAAUCUGACUGUGGAGAAGGAGUCAACCCCUUAUCAUCUUUUGAGAUGAGUGUGCACAAAAACACUUGUGCAUGAAGGAGAUUUAAGUGGAAAAGUCGAUGCACAGAGACAGUCCCACUCUCUCGGCGUUGGAAGCCUGGGUCCAGUGGCAUGAAAAAUCUUUACACCUGGAGACUUCCUCAGCUGCAUUGGAUGGCCGUGUUGUCUUUUGUGCUCCAAACUGCCCAAAGCACUCCACAGUGCCUUGCUGCGUCGCCAUCUCAGCCGUUGAACCUUCUUGUUGGUUUCUUCCCCCUGUUCCGCAGAAGCAGUCUUCACAUGCUGGACAACAUAUGGUAGGAUUUUGGUUUCUGAUCCACUCUGCUAUUUGCUUCCGCUUUACAGGUGAGUUCAUCCCAUUCACAUUCAAAGUUAUGAUUAAUACUUGUGUAUUUCCCAACAUUUUCAUUUUCACUCCCUGUCCUGCUCUUUCCUCUUUCAUUAUUUUCUUCUACACCAAUAUUCUGUUUUUAAUCAGUCCCCCUAAUCCAUACCCGUAUUUUACUUUCCUUAUUCUCCCUUUUUAUUCCUCUCUUAAUUUUCUUUUGGGGUCUUUUUAAGCUAGCCCACACACUCUCCCCCCUUGAAUUACUUCCCUCCCUACCCUCCCUUUCUUCCCCCUCCCUUUUUAUUGCCCUCCUAUAUCACUCUAAGAACAUACAUUAAAUAAGUGUAGACAUUUAUUUGUAGACAAAAAUGUCUUUAGAAGUUAAGCUUCAGGUAGUUAUAGGUUUGCUGUUACUGUGAUCACUUGGGAUCAUGACAUACUAUCAGGUGACCCUACAUCAAACAGCCAAAGGAUCAAAUGAUGGUUCAUAUCCUAUCCUUCCCAUACUUUUGAAUUGUGAUGUUAGUCUCCAUCUCAUUUAUAUAUAACUAUUCCUAAACACUCCCCCACUGCUUCCUUUCCCUCUGCUAGGGAAAUUUCCCACUUUUGAGCUUGGAGUCCCUUAAGGACAGUUAUAACUAUCCUUCACUGGAACAAUAGUAAUUUCAUAGAGCCCAUUGGCAAAAUUACCUUAUCCCUCUUUUCCCCUAACAUUCUCAUUCUCAGCUCCCCAGAUAAACUCAUGACUUUAGCAAGUAAUGAUUACAGGAAGUCUCUGCAAAGAAUGGUCAAAUUAAGAUAUCUUUUGUAGAUCUCUUUAUAUAUUUCCCUUAAAAUAUUUUUUUCAUAAAUACCUUAUUAAGGGAAUGCUCUGAAAAUGUUACAACCAGCCAUUUAACAAAAAUUUCAUAAUCUUUUAUCUUUGAGCUUCCUUUUCAUUAAUCCCACAUAUCUAAUUAAUUGUCAAAUCUUGUCAUUUCUGUCUCUAUCUCUCUUAUAGCUCCUUCUUUCUAUUCAGAUACUAACAAACAGUUCAUGCUUUCAUUACUUCUUGCCUAAUCCACUACAAUAACCCCCUCAUUUAUCUUCCUGCCUCCAAUAUCUAUUUAAUCUAUUUUCAAUGUCAAAGAUGUCAUAAUGACUUCUCUAAAAACUAAGAUAUAUCAAUGUCACUCUCCAACUGGAUCCAGGAUAAUAUAUCAUUUCACCUUAAUUUUGUCUUUAAAACAUUCUAGUUUUUUAUAAGUUUUAGAAUGUCCAUGGAGGACAAGUAUACAAAUUGUAGAAAGUAAAUUUACACAUAUUGGAGAUGUGCUCAAAUAUUUUUACCUAAUCAUUUAUAGGGGUGUGUGAUCAAGGAAAUUUGGAAAGCAUUGUCCAUUCUGUUGCAAUUAUGGGAAUAGAAAAGAACUAAGAAAGGAAAUGAAUAAAAGGAAAGAAAGAUAAGCA
rnacentral:lncRNA from 1 species